rnacentral:rRNA from 1 species
CAGCACCUCAUGUGGUCAGGAUGAUUAUUGGGCCUAAAGCAUCCGUAGCCGGCGCUGUAAGUUUUCGGUUAAAUCUGUACGCUCAACGUACAGGCUGCCGGGAAUACUGCAGCGCUAGGGAGUGGGAGAGGUAGACGGUACUCGGUAGGAAGGGGUAAAAUCCUUUGAUCUAUUGAUGACCACCUGUGGCGAAGGCGGUCUACCAGAACACGUCCGACGGUGAGGGAUGAAAGCUGGGGGAGCAAACCGGAUUAGAUACCCGAGUAGUCC